GUGGGUUAGUCAGGGUAGUGUCGGUGUGGCUGACGAUAAUUAGACCACAUUUACUAAUCAUCCCCACAUUGUUGAAACUUGUAGCGGCUUCGUUCUUUGUUUUUCUAAAACCUUGUGAGUGGUGAUUCAUAUGGUAACAGCACUGUUUAUAUUCGAUGUUCUGCUAACGUUUAUUUUUUUUACAAAUCUGGAGAUUGUAUGUGAACAUUACGGUUACAUCAAUAGACGUCAGAUACUUUGCAGAGAAAAUAAGACAUGCUAUUUAAGCAGCCGUCUGCAGGGCUGUGGCUGAGCCCUACUGCAGGAGCACAUGAGCCACUGUAUGACAUUUGAACAAAGAACACAGUUGUCUGGGGAGUUCUUCCAAUGCGACGGCUGAACUGACAGCGGCCAAAUCCACCGCCUACGCAGGGUGGGGUCUCACUGGGAUGACUCAUACACACACACACACGCAUGCACGCCCACAAAUACACACACACACAAACUCAAACAUGCAUGUAUUUCUACACACACACACACACACACGCACGAAAGCACACAAAUACACACACACAUACACACACUCACAUAUGCAUGCAUUUACACACACACACAUGGUCACACACACUCACUACACACACACACAUGCAUGAUUUCCUCUUUGGCGUUCCUUAGCAGUGAAAGACACAGGUGAAAGUCGUCCCAGCAGGGCUGCCUGUCUGGCAGUCUCAUGUCAUUGAUAGGGAGUGUGCAGGUUCCUCUGUUUUCACUGGCUGUCUGGGUAACCAGCCAGCCCAAAUAAUAGGUUUAUAGUGUGUUUCUAGACCCCUCCUUUGUCAUACAGUCUUUACACAGCUUCUCAACAGGCUUGGUUGCAGUUAUGGUUCGGUAUCCGGUUAGUUACAGAUUUCCAAGUGUAAAUUUGUCUGUAGAAUAAAUAAAAAGAUUGAAGCAUUGUAAGACUUUCCUGAAACAUCUUCAUAGAAGAAAACUUUACUGGAAGCUCUGAGCUAGUUCACACUGUGUAUUCUGUCAAUUAUUUGUUAUCAUGUUGUUUAAUAUGCAUCACUUGUCAAGCAUGGAUACUGUCAAUGAGGAAAGAAAGAAACAGGAGUUUAAAUAU